UGAAUUGACGGGGGCCCGCACAAGCGGUGGAGCAUGUGGUUUAAUUCGAUGCAACGCGAAGAACCUUACCUGGUCUUGACAUCCACAGAACUUUCCAGAGAUGGAUUGGUGCCUUCGGGAACUGUGAGACAGGUGCUGCAUGGCUGUCGUCAGCUCGUGUUGUGAAAUGUUGGGUUAAGUCCCGCAACGAGCGCAACCCUUAUCCUUUGUUGCCAGCGGUUAGGCCGGGAACUCAAAGGAGACUGCCAGUGAUAAACUGGAGGAAGGUGGGGAUGACGUCAAGUCAUCAUGGCCCUUACGACCAGGGCUACACACGUGCUACAAUGGCGCAUACAAAGAGAAGCGACCUCGCGAGAGCAAGCGGACCUCAUAAAGUGCGUCGUAGUCCGGAUUGGAGUCUGCAACUCGACUCCAUGAAGUCGGAAUCGCUAUAAUCGUAGAUCAGAUGUACGGAANU
rnacentral:rRNA from 1 species